rnacentral:rRNA from 1 species
UGAGGAAUAUUCCACAAUGGGCGAAAGCCUGAUGGAGCGACGCCGCGUGCGGGAAGAAGCCUUUCGGGGUGUAAACCGCUUUUCUCUGGGAUGACACGCUUCCGUAAGGGAGCUAGGACAGUACCAGAGGAAUAAGCCUCGGCUAACUACGUGCCAGCAGCCGCGGUAAUACGUAGGAGGCGAGCGUUGUCCGGAUUUACUGGGCGUAAAGCGCGCGCAGGCGGCACCUCAAGUACUCUCUGAAAUCCACCUGCUCAACGGGUGGGGUGGAGAGUAGACUGAGGAGCUAGAGAGAGGUAGAGGGGGGUAGAAUUGCUGGUGUAGCGGUGAAAUGCGUAGAGAUCAGCAGGAAUACCCGUGGCGAAGGCGGCCCCCUGGGCCUCUUCUGUCGCCGAGGCGCGAAGGCGUGGGGGAGCGGAACGGGAUUAGACGUACCCCGGUAGUCCCAGCAGUAAACGAUGACCACGUAGGUGGU